rnacentral:rRNA from 1 species
GCCUAAUACAUGCAAGUCGAGCGGACAGAUGGGAGCUUGCUCCCUGAAGUCAGCGGCGGACGGGUGAGUAACACGUGGGCAACCUGCCUGUAAGACUGGGAUAACUCCGUAAAACCGGGGCUAAUACCGGAUAAUUCUUUCCCUCACAUGAGGGAAAGCUGAAAGAUGGUUUCGGCUAUCACUUACAGAUGGGCCCGCGGAGCAUUAGCUAGUUGGUGAGGUAACGGCUCACCAAGGCAACGAUGCGUAGCCGACCUGAAAGGGUGAUCGGCCACACUGGGACUGAGACACGGCCCAGACUCCUACGGGAGGCAGCAGUAGGGAAUCUUCCGCAAUGGACGAAAGUCUGAC